rnacentral:lncRNA from 1 species
GUGGCCGCGGUGAUUAUGGCGGUGGUCGUGGAGACUAUGGAGGUGGGCGUGGUGACUAUGGUGGCGGACGAGGUGCUUAUGGUGGUGGUGGACGAGGUGGCCGUGGGAUGCCCCAACAACAGUAUGGGGGGCCUCCGAGGGGAGGACCUCCUCAACAACAACAGCAGUACGGUGGACCUCCGGAAUAUCAAGGAAGGGGUAGAGGACCUUCUCAACAGCCAGGUGGCCGUGGGUACGGUGGUGGAAGAGGUGGAUAUAGCGGUGGUGUUGGUGCUGGUGCUGGCCAUGAUGUUGUUUCAUCCUAUGGAGGCCCACCAAGGCAACCCUCAUACCCCGAGCUGCACCAAGCAACCCCUG